GUCGGCGAAGAAGGAAUGACACGGAGACAGGGUUCAGUUGAUCAGCAGCCUAGCCAGGAUCUCUAGCCAAGAUCUCCAGCAAGGUUCUGUGUCCAUGUUCUCUUGCUAGGUUCUCCAGCCAGGUUCUCCAGGUUCUCCAGCCAGGUUCUGUAGCCAUGUUCUCUCGCUAGGUUCUCCAGCCAGGUUCGGUCGCCAGGUUCUGUAGCCGGGUUCUUCAGCCAGGUUCUGUCUAGGUUCUCCAACCAAGUUCUGUAGCCAGGUUCUGUCCAGGAUCUUUUGCCAUGUUCUCUCGCUAGGUUCUGUCUCUAGGUUCUGUGUGUUCUGUGUCUAGGUUCUGUGUCUAGGUUCUGUGUCUAGGUUCUGUGUCCUGUUGUCUUGUUACAUCUGUAUUUAUACCAGUUGAUUCCAAUCCUAUCAAUCUCUAUUCCAAAGGUUAGGGCGUUUAUCUCCAUUCCAGGGAGUAAAGAUUAUGUAGCUUAAGCAUGAUUGUUCGUAGUUAAAGUGAUUAAUUA